ACAACCAUUGGAGAAGGAUGUGUGGGCUUAGGGAGAAGAAGGAUAAAAAUUCAGUGGUGAAAUUCUGGUUCUAUAUGGUUGAGGCCAACUGGUAGCCCUGGAGGCGAGAGGCCCCUCCCGCCCACCUGCCUGGACAUCAUCACAUUCUGUUUUUGAUGCUUUGCACAUCUGCAGAAGUGCAGACUCACAUUUUGUGAACCAGUAGCGAAGCAGAGGGGGAAAGAUGAGAAGGUCCCAAUAGACAACAUAAGAACUUAUAGGAAACGAUGGCCAGAUCUAGUUCACAUCCUACAUUUCAGGUCAGACUGCAUUUGUCCUAAAACAUCUUUCUUGGGUCUCCUGGAAGGAACAAAUGAACAGGUUUCUUGAAACAUAAUCCCAUUUGGCAACUGAUAGACUUCAUGUAGUUGAAGAAUAACAUGCUCUGAUCUGGAGUCAUCUGACUAAGGAGAUGGAGAUGAAUUGCCACUUUCCAGAUUGAUUAAUUAUAAUUAAUGCAAAGGAGAAAUUUGAGACUUAUCAGGAGAUAUUGCUGUCUGAAUGGAAGGCAGGUGUAUUUUCCCAAAAUCAUACAAUGUUCCCAGAAGAGAGGAUUUCUAUUAAUAAUGGUUUGCAGUCUUUUCACAUACUGAAAAUUGAUGGGUCAGCCUAUAAUAAUCAAAAGCACUUGUAUUUGGUCGGGUACAACUCCUUUUGCAAGUAUAAGUGAAUGCUGCAUUAUAUUCUCAAAUAAUGCCGACGAUAUCUCCAUAAAUUUUAUUACAUUUUCUUUAACAAUAUAUGUUUUCCUGUAAUAUAAUCCUCUGUCCACAGAUUUUAUAAAUGUUCAUUACUGAAUUCAGAUAUAAAUA